AAAGACGAUGGUCAGAUUAUGGU
rnacentral:siRNA from 1 species